rnacentral:rRNA from 1 species
UACAGAGGUCUCAAGCGUUGUUCGGAUUCAUUGGGCGUAAAGGGUGCGUAGGUGGCGGGGUUAGUCAGGUGUGAAAUCUCGGAGCUCAACUCCGAAACUGCACUUGAUACUGCCUUGCUUGAGUGCUGGAGAGGAGAUUGGAAUUUACGGUGUAGCAGUGAAAUGCGUAGAUAUCGUAAGGAAGACCAGUGGCGAAGGCGACUUACUGGACACAUAUUGACGCUGAGGUGCGAAAGCGUGGAAGCAAACAGG